AUCGUUUUCGGAAGCCAAACAUUAUUGAACAAUAAUUCAUUCCUCUGCGCUUUGGUGUCUAUGAUGGUGGCAAUGGCAACUACAACAGCUUGACCAAGGUCGUUGCUCAAAAUCUUUGGUUGUUUUUUUGACAGAAUAACGGAAAACAGGGUUGCCAAUCAUACUGGCCUUUCUGGACUUGCCUAAGAAUCCAACAUGAAAAUUAUUUGCAAGAAUGACUUUAUUAAGUCAAACUUCAAUAUCUGUAACAGGAUAGGUAUAGCAAUGAGUUUAUUUUUUGCAACUUAGCUCUGUUGACCCAAAAAACCGGAAAGAAUCACUUAAAUAAUUGCUAUAACGUUGUCCUAAUGUGACUAGUUCAUAGGCACAACCGCUCAAGUAUAUAGACUAAAAUAAUGAUGAUUAUUUUCCAUUUAGUCUCCCAUUCCUUAAGUAAAAUGCUCAGCCACUCAA